AGCGGAGUAGAGCAGUCUGGUUAGCUCACAAGAACACCCCCAUAACCUUGAAGUCACGGGUUCAAAUCCCGUCUCCGCACCCCA
rnacentral:tRNA from 1 species